rnacentral:rRNA from 1 species
GAAGGUGGCCUGUGAGGGUUGCUGGAGGUAUCAGAAGUGCGAAUGCUGACAUAAGUAACGAUAAAGCGGGUGAAAAGCCCGCUCGCCGGAAGACCAAGGGUUCCUGUCCAACGUUAAUCGGGGCAGGGUGAGUCGACCCCUAAGGCGAGGCCGAAAGGCGUAGUCGAUGGGAAACGGGUUAAUAUUCCCGUACUUGGUGUUACUGCGAAGGGGGGACGGAGAAGGCUAUGUUGGCCGGGCGACGGUUGUCCCGGUUUAAGCGUGUAGGUGUGUGUUCCAGGUAAAUCCGGUUCACUUUAACACUGAGGCGUGACGACGAGGCACUACGGUGCUGAAGCAACAAAUGCCCUGCUUCCAGGAAAAGCCUCUAAGCAUCAGGUAACAUCAAAUCGUACCCCAAACCGACACAGGUGGUCAGGUAGAGAAUACCAAGGCGCUUGAGAGAACUCGGGUGAAGGAACUAGGCAAAAUGGUGCCGUAACUUCGGGAGAAGGCACGCUGACACGUAGGUGAAGUGAUUUACUCAUGGAGCUGAAGUCAGUCGAAGAUACCAGCUGGCUGCAACUGUUUAUUAAAAACACA